rnacentral:rRNA from 1 species
UACGAAGGGGGCUAGCGUUUGCUCGGAAUUACUGGGCGUAAAGGGAGCGUAGGCGGAUAGUUUAGUCAGAGGUGAAAGCCCAGGGCUCAACCUUGGAAUUUGCCUUUGAUACUGGCUAUCUUUGAGUACGGAAGAGGUAUGUGGAACUCCGAGUGUAGAGGUGAAAUUCGUAGAUAUUCGGAAGAACACCAGUGGCGAAGGCGACAUACUGGUCCGUUUACUGACGCUGAGGCUCGAAAGCGUGGGGAGCAAACAGG